rnacentral:rRNA from 1 species
AGUGGCGAACGGGUGAGUAAUAUAUCGGAACGUACCCUAGAGUGGGGGAUAACGUAGCGAAAGUUACGCUAAUACCGCAUACGAUCUAAGGAUGAAAGUGGGGGAUCGCAAGACCUCAUGCUCGUGGAGCGGCCGAUAUCUGAUUAGCUAGUUGGUGGGGUAAAAGCCUACCAAGGCGACGAUCAGUAGCUGGUCUGAGAGGACGACCAGCCACACUGGAACUGAGACACGGUCCAGACUCCUACGGGAGGCAGCAGUGGGGAAUUUUGGACAAUGGGCGAAAGCCUGAUCCAGCAAUGCCGCGUGUGUGAAGAAGGCCUUCGGGUUGUAAAGCACUUUUGUCAGGAACGAAACGGCGCUUGCUAAUAUCGAGCGCUAAUGACGGUACCUGAAGAAUAAGCACCGGCUAACUACGUGCCAGCAGCCGCGGUAAUACGUAGGGUGCAAGCGUUAAUCGGAAUUACUGGGCGUAAAGCGUGCGCAGGCGGUUAUGCAAGACAGAUGUGAAAUCCCCGGGCUUAACCUGGGCACUGCAUUUGUGACUGCAUGGCUAGAGUGUGUCAGAGGGGGGUAGAAUUCCACGUGUAGCAGUGAAAUGCGUAGAGAUGUGGAGGAACACCGAUGGCGAAGGCAGCCCCCUGGGAUAACACUGACGCUCAUGCACGAAAGCGUGGGGAGCAAACAGGAUUAGAUACCCUGGUAGUCCACGCCCUAAACGAUGUCUACUAGU